rnacentral:sRNA from 1 species
CUCUUGGGCGGGGAGUUAGUGCAUCUGGGCAGGGCUGCUGGUUAGAACAAACUCCGGGAUCCGAAGCGAGGCUCUGGUGUCUGGGGCGGAGCUUACCGUGAUUGGGGCGGGGCUCUGAAGAGAUGGGGCGGUUGGGACAAUCCUGGAUUGAAAAGGCAGCAGAGAGACAUUGGAUUACGUAGGAAAGAAGCAAUCCCAUCUGGUUUGGGAGCAGUGCCCAGUGCAGUGCGGAGGUGUCUCUCUAGAGCAUCUGCCGGUGCCAUGCCCCAGAAGCACCAAGAACCACAGGAUGAUUCUACCAACAUUAUGGACAGGCUCCAGUGCAAGGCCCACUCAUCAACCCCUCUGCUUCUGAGUCUGCUGUUGCUUGGCAACCAUCUCAGUGACAACCUUUCCUUUCUGCCAACAGCUCUUCCAGAUCUGCCAUUUCUUUCCCAGUUCUGCCUGUGCUCUCUCUACAGGUGAUGGUAGAGAGAAUUCAUUACAGUUCGGAUGCUGUGGGAGGAUUUCUCUUGUCUUCUUUUUGCUUCCCAUUAGGUCUAGUGCCUCAGUUGCUAGGUCCUAACGAAUACUUGAUACCUUCUCAAAUCAAGGGAUUUCUUUUAUGUUGGAAGUAAUAUUUUAUUCUAGUAUAAAUAUAAACAAAAUAUAUUCUAGCGCAUGAUAGCUGCCUUUAUUAUAGGCACCGAUCUGAGUUUGGAGGGCUCCUGGUGAGAGCCUCAGUUUCUUAUAUUCCAGGACCAUGAAUCUCACCAGGGACAGAUGUUAGAAAUAGAAACAGGGACCGUUUAUUAGGGACGGGAAAGUCACUCCCAAGACUGGGAAUAGGCUUGAGAGCUCACAUACAGCAAUUUCUGCCCCCAACUUGGGGAGAAGCUCUGAGGACACUCUAAAAGGAGCCAGCACAUUCCAUCGUGCAGGGGCCUUGUUAAGUUCAAGAAGUAAAAAUCAAAACAAGACAAAAAAAGCAAAACCAGAAGAAACCUGAAAGGCUUCAAGGAAUUCCUAAAACUGACCAGAUCCAUGAGGCCCCUCCUUCCAUAAGCAUUUAUAAUCUGUAAGAAUUGCUUACGGACAUUGUCAUCCAGACCAAAUGCUGUAGAACAGGCUUUGAGCAACCGAUCUGCCUGGAAGAGGCGGAGACCAACCAAAUUGUCUGGAAGAGAUGCUCUUCAAGCUGUCAAUCAAUGAGCUGCAGUUUUCCAGUGAGCCAUCACCACCAUGUCAGGGCGGGCUUUUGGUAAUGUAAUGUAUAUAUAAUAUAACGCCUUUGGGUCAUUUCUGCUGUGGUAAGUAGCCUCUUCCCCAUUCUCCUAUAAAUAACUCCAGUAAAACUCGCCAAGGAGGAUGUUAGCAGUUUCUUCACUUUAGUCUUUCCUUGGUUUCCUAUUCGGGGUGAGUAGAGGUUUGUUCAUAUUUUCCCAGGAACAGUGCCUGUCGCACAACAGCUAAGAAAAACAAACUUUCAAAAAAGAAUUGCUGGCCCAUGAGGCUCAGGACCUUUAUAAAAGGCACCCAUUUUCUUAUGUUUGUGUAUUAAGGAUGUUUCUUCAGCAUGCUGUUUGUUACCUGCAACCCAGGUGGGGAAUGUGUUUCAAGUCUUCUGCCAACUAAUCUUGCUGCCUUCAAUCCUGACCCCACCACAGCUUCAAACCCUGUAGUCAAAGAAAUGCUUUCUAAUGAAAGAAGAAGAGCACAAGGCCAACGUGCUCAGAGGUCAAGAUGUUGAAACACAUCAAAGUGUUUCCAACUUACAGAAUGUGACCUUUCUCCUAAAACAAAUCUUCUUGCUAGAGACAGUCAUUCCUAUCAAAGAUGAUUGUAGAAGCCGUACUCCCUCUCAGCUUCAAUCUCUAUACUUCCUGAAACCUCCCAUCAAUCUUUUAGGGCCUCUCCUUGCAAGCAAAUAGACCAACCUCACCUUCUUGCUCUCCUCCGGCACAAGCUUCUUUGCAUGCUUGUCUCUCCAUGGCUAGUAGAAGGGUAGGAUCAGCAUCCAAGAGUCCCCAUCCCUAUCUGUGUAUCAAAUCUUCCUAAGCCACGUUUUUCCCUUAGUCAGUCCUCCCUGUGAAUGUGUAAUAGCCUAGGUAGGCUGGAACUACACUUACGUCCUAAGGCACUUUGGAAACCCAUCAGCCUUGUAGUUUGUAAAGAGGAGGCUCUUAGUGAUGUGAGUUCCCUAAGUAAUUUACUGCCAUGAGCCCCUGAGAGUCACCAAGUGCUCCUAUCAGCUAAGUCAGUUUCCAAUUCUAUGCUCCACAGGAAUAAUUGCAUAUCUCCAAGUGUUAGAAAUAGUAGCCCCAUGUCCAAAUGCUCACUGCUCACAGCCUUUGGUAAUAAGUCUUUAAAUAACUGAAGAAGCUGUGUGAAUUAGACAGCUGAGCUCCAUGGGCUAUCACAAACACAAUAGGGCAGAGCCUGGAAUCUAGAAACAGGUAUUCUGACUCCUGAUGAACAAGUGGACCAGCCACCACUCCUGCCUACUCUGCCAGCACAGGGAAGUCACUGCUAACAGGGGCUCAAGGAGAGUGUGCCACACAGUUCCAAGAAGCUUCCACCUUCCAUCUUGGAAAGGUAGGCAGUCAGCAGAGAUACCACAGAGCAAAGCAUCCAAAGUGCCUAACAACAAGUGAAACAUGUAAUUGCCCUUCAUGAUGCCUGCCUCUGGGUCAGGCAUGGCAGGAUACUGCCAUAACCUGCUCUUCAGGAGGCUGGUAUACAGAUGUUCUUUAGAGAGUGCUGCUGGCAGCAACAUCGUUACACAGAAGGAAGAAAAUGCCCUGGCAGAAGGAGAGGUGGAUGGCGAAGGGGCCUUUGUAAAGUCUCAGCCAGCCAAAAAGAGAACCCAGGAGAGCAGGGAGGUUGGCUAAUUCUCCCCGGUCCUACAGGUGGGAGUGACACAGCAUCUCAUAGAAUUAAACAUGAGAAACUUACAAACUACGAGGCUGACGGUUUUCCAAAGUGCCAUAGGACAUAAGUGUAAUUCCAGCCUACCUGGCCUAUUACACAUUCACAAGGAGAACGGACUAAGAGAAAAACAGGAAGGCUGGAGGAAUGGUAAUGGCAAGAGAUGGAGACCCUAAUCUAGAGAACACUCAAGGGGAGGGUAUUAAGUAAGCUUAGGCAGGGCCUCAGACACUUAGUUAUAGAGGAAUGAGGAAGCACCAUGCAGGCUCCUCCAGGCUACAUGGAGCCACCUGGCUGUCUCCUUCAGGGACAAGGCUGUAGCAAUAAUGUGAAAGGUGGAUUAUAAACAGUAACAACCAUAGAGAAGAGACCAGCAAAUCAGGAGACACAGAAGAUAACAGGGUAGACAAACAGACAUUUACCAGAGAGUAACACGGAUAUUGCUGGUUAAGGUUCAGAAUCUGACUUGGGAGAAGGGAGAAGGGGAGAGAAGGGAGGAGAAGGGAGUUACAUGAAAUCUUGAUCCUUGGUGCUAUUGGUUCCUGGGAAGAGAUGGCUCCACAGGCAGAGCAAACCGGAAUGCAUUUUAGACCCAAUGUGUGUGAGGUCAUUGCAGGACACUUGGGAGUGAUCGUCAAGAAGAUGACUAGGCUGGUUUGAAGCCCCCACACAGGAUGGGAGGUUUGGGUAAAUUGUGAGAGGAGUGGUGGUUGAAGUUAUGGGAGUGCAGGAAGGCUCUGGGGACCACAGCAGAGGUCAAGGAAAGCAAAGGAGAGAAAAUGGAGAUGAAGAAUGGAAGGAAGCUUGGGAAGGAGAGUUAGCAGGAGAGGAGGGUGGCCCCUUUCCAUCAUGGUGGCCCACAUUUGCUACCUGAGCAUUCAUGAGGCUGAGGCAGGAAGACCAAGCAUUCAAGGCAAGCCUGAGCUACAUUGUGAAAGGUUGCCUUAAAACCAAAAGGCUUGCAAGUUGGAGAGGGUCAACAUAUCAGACAUAAAAAGUUGGGACAUAAAGACAUUAUUUUUGACACAGGAUAUCAUAUAUCUGGGGUGCCCUCAACUUUCUCUGUAGCUGAUGAUGAUCUUGAAUUUCUGAUCCUCCUGCCUCUACCUCCUAAAUGUUGGGAUUACAGGUAAACUAUUUGUGGUUUAUGCAGUGCUGAGGACUAAACCUAGUGUCUCAUGUUGGCAAGCAUUCUGUUGCCUGAAUCACAUACCCAGCCCAAGACACUUGAUUUAACUGUUACAACAUCUACCAUCAUCUUAGAACAUGUUCAACAAAAUGAAAGUCACACCAACAGGGACUGGAGAGACCCAACAAAGAGUUGGACUCUGGAAUCUGGUAGGCCUACCUGGCCCCCAUCGCUUAAUGCGUUCAUCAUCUUCACUGAGUAUUCUGUGUUUCAUUAAUUCUUCUGUACACAUUUGAAUGGUGAAUCAACUUCAAGAUUAAAGAUCAGGUGGGGUAUAUGUUUGGAGAACAUGUAUUACUUGCUCAGUGAAAAGUCCCGAUGACUCUGUGUGCGUGCGUGCGUGCGUGCGUGCGUGCGUGCGUGCGUGCGUGUGUGUGUGUGUGUGUGUGUGUUGCUAAGGGCAGCUUAUGCAUGCUUGGCAAGCAUUAUCCACAGAGUGCUACCCCAACCCUUGACUAAUGUAUUUAUUUGAGCUUUUUGGUGAGGAAUGGGGCCAAGGGUCUGUGGUGUAUAUCAUGCUAUAGACACUUCAAUGUACAUAUCUUGGCUUACAGUUUGCUGAGAAACUGUAAAAAGAAAACAAAAGAACUAGUAUUAGUCUAGCACAGUUAUGCUGGUAAGAUGGCUAUAGUUCUGUCAAACUGAUUUUGUACACAGGAGUCAUUGUUAGGCCACAAAUCUAUAGUAAUUUGUGUCUUGUUUUUAUGAAUUAAAUCUUUAGAUUGUUUCCAAAUGACAAUAUAUUCUUGAGUUUCAGAUGAAUAUGGGUCAAAUACUCUUCCAUUAUGUGAGAACAAGGCCUGGUUUAGAGAUACGGAUGGUGUUUGUGUUGAGGAGUGAAAUAACACUGCUACAUUUCAUUGCUUUGGAAAUGACAUUUAUGUGAUAGAAGACAGACAUUUUGGUAGGAAGAGGGGUCGAGUGAGGGGCAAUUGAAGAUUUGAGAAGUAUUGCUGUGGUGAUUUAAAUAGGUUUAGCCCCCAUAGGCUCAUGUGUUUAAAUGCUUGACCCAUGGGAAAUGGCCCUAUUAGGAUUCGUUGAAGUAGGUGUGGCCUUGUUGGAGAAAGUGUGUCCUGUGUGGGUGGGCUUUGAGGUCUCCAUGCUUAAGUGAACCCCUUCUGGCUAUGCUCAGUCAGAUCCCCUCCUGGCUGCCUUUGGAUCAAGGUGUAGAAUGCUCAGCUCCUUCUUUAGCACCUGUUUGCUUGGACGCUGCCAUGCUUCCUGCCAUGAUGAUGAGAAUGGAUUGAACAGUAAGCCAGCCCCAGUUAAAUGCUUGCCUUUACAAGAGUUGCCUUGGUCAUGGUGUCUCUUCACAGAAAUAAAGACAGCUAGCUGAGACAACUGUCUGUGAGGAUGGGAAGAGAAGGAGAGCCGGAAAAGUAGAACUGUGCAAGUGCAAGGAGCAGAGAGGGGCAAUGACCAAAAGAAGCAUUAUGCCUGCACAGUCAGGUGUAAGCAAGAAGAGAAAAGUGAAGACAGUGAGUAAACUGGCUUCACACCACUGUAACAAACUCUCGAGACCAUUAGUUUAUAAAGAGGAAAGGUCUAUUCUGCCUCAUAUUUUCAGAGGUUCAAUUUAUGAUCAUUGGCCUCUGUGAUGAGGCAACAAAUCCUAUCAGGGGUGAUGGGAGACAAACACCUCAAUUCACAGCAGAAAGAGGGAGAGAGAAUGGGGAGGCUACAGUCCCACAAGGCUACCUUUCAAGGGUAAGCCUCCAGUGACCAGGACUCUCACUGGAGCUCAUCUCUUAAAAGAUCCACCACUUCCUAAAAGUGCUACUCUGGGAACCAAGCCUACAACACAUGCACUGUGGAGACAUUCAAGAUCCAAAUACUGACAGAGCAUAUGGCGAGGGACCUGGUCUUUGUUUCCUGGCCAGACAGUUGUGUGAGCAACUGUUUACCGAAAACUGUGGAUGAAGAAAUGAUUGAAUGGGCCAAAAAGGGAAACCUUAGGCUUCAAAUUCUGCCUUGGUAUGUGCAACCAUGUGUCUGGCCAUAUUUCAAGUAGCAGUGAGGCUCCAGUUGAGCUAUUAGAAGCUACUCAUUAAAAAGGAACUUUGGAGGGUUAGAGAGAUAUUCAUUUGGUAAGAUGCUUGCCUUGGAAGCAUCGAUAUCUGAACUGGAUGCCCAGCAUCUAUGUAAAAAGCAUGGUGUUGUAUAUUUUAGUGUCAUUCCUGGAGAGGGGGAAGACAUAGAGGUCUCUGGCCCUGGCCUGGUUGAGUCAACAAGCAUCCAAGAUUAACAAGAUCCCAGAGAGAGUCUCUGUCUCAGAAGACACAGUAGAAAACAUUGUGAAUGAUACCUAAAGGUUGACCUCUAGUCUUCACAGGUAUGCACACAUGUACAAACAUACAAAAGAUUUUAUAUGUCAUAUACAGUAAUGGCAUGUACAAAACCAUGACAGGCUCUGUGAGGGAACUGCAGGACAGGUUCUCUUCCUUUAAAAUAGUUUAUCAAAUUACAGAACAUAGGACAAGUAUUUUGUUUACUAUUAAAGAAAACACCACACAAUUAGCAUUUAUCUGGGUUCAUAUGUAAUCCAGAAGCCAUCUAAAAUAAAUCUAGCACCCAGGUUCAAAUAAUUUUUAAAUCUACAACAAAUGUUGGGGGUAUAGCUUAUGAUUUACAAAGACAAAAAGGAAUUACUGGAAAGCUGGGACAAGCAUUCUGGUUCAGUUCUCUGCAAUGGGACAUGGGAUGGCAGAGAGAUGUAGCUUCUGCCUGGAUUCUUUCUCAGAUGUGAGAGCUAGUUAGAUGAGGAAAAUUGUGUAUCAUAGCCACAUGCAGAACUGUAUCAAGUGGAUGAGACUGAAAGAGUUGGCUGACGCUUCUUGUACCGGAAUUUCUUUGGGGCUGCUGAGAAGUCAGAAUGUCACAUUAUACAUUCAUUCACACAGAGAAGUUAGGACUGUCAAAAUUGGCAAUCAGAGUCAUGCUGGAGCCUUUGCAGACCG